rnacentral:misc_RNA from 1 species
AACUUCUCAAGAUAUACCUGUAAAUCCAUUUUCUGCAUCUUCAUCUAAAGCACUAUCACAGUUACCAAUGCUAAGAGAUUUGGAUACUGACCCAGAUUCAGAUCCACAAUCCACAUCUGAAGCUUGUGCUUUAGAUCUGGAGGAUUUGGACAUUGAGCCGUCUUUAGAUUUCUUUCUCCGAGUUUUUUUGGGUGCAUCCUCGCUGGCGCCGGCUGGGCCUGAAUCCUUGUGCCGGCCUGAUUUGCCAUCGGCCAAUUCCUUGUUUGCAUUUCUUGAAGACCGCCUUGAUUGUUUAGGCUUAUCUGAUUUUUCCUUAGUUGGAGAAUCACCUGCUCCUCCUGUUGAUGAAUGUCGUCUAGAUGAUUUUGGCAAUUCUGGCAAGUCCCUUGCUGAAGAAUCUGACGCUCUCCUGGAAACUCUUCGACUUGCAGCAUCUUCAGAAACCCAUUUUAUUUCAUCGUUUGCAUCUCCAUUAGAAGCUGAUGAUAAUCCAGGUGCUGCUUUAAACUCGUUCAUCUACAUAAAAGUCAGGGUAGGAUCUUUCAGUCCUCUGGAAACUUGUUCAACUGAAGAAAAUAAAAUUUUGAAAAAUUACCCAGCUUGGAGAAUUCACUGAAGGGCCAUCCCACCCUAUAUGGGCAACAUGCUUUACAUCUGUAGGA